rnacentral:rRNA from 1 species
UGGGGAAUAUUGCGCAAUGGGCGGAAGCCUGACGCAGCGACGCCGCGUGGGGGAUGACGGCCUUCGGGUUGUAAACCUCUUUCGACCGGGACGAAGCGUGAGUGACGGUACCGGUAGAAGAAGCACCGGCCAACUACGUGCCAGCAGCCGCGGUAACACGUAGGGUGCGAGCGUUGUCCGGAAUUAUUGGGCGUAAAGAGCUCGUAGGCGGCCUGUCACGUCGGCUGUGAAAUCCCGAGGCUCAACCUCGGGUCUGCAGUCGAUACGGGCAAACUAGAGUAUUGCAGGGGAGACUGGAAUUCCUGGUGUAGCGGUGAAAUGCGCAGAUAUCAGGAGGAACACCGGUGGCGAAGGCGGGUCUCUGGGCAAUAACUGACGCUGAGGAGCGAAAGCGUGGGGAGCGAACAGGAUUAGAUACC